rnacentral:misc_RNA from 1 species
UGACGUGCGGGUCCAUUUGG